rnacentral:lncRNA from 1 species
ACCACCUUGACGAGCGGUGUAGGCAGUAGCUGUGGAAGCUAGCCUUUCAUAAUGCAUUGAUUUAACGACAAUCGUUCGCGUCGACCUUGAUGACAUCAGCACGCUGUAAACAAGUGGGGUGCUGUGAAUGAGGUCAGUGCCGCCUUGGUUUUUUGUGUGGGUCAAGGGAGUGUCUGGUGCGACGAACUCUGUGUUCGGCAAUCGGCCUGAUGGUAUUCAAAGCUUCAUGUUUCAGGGUCGGGUGCUUCUUGCCACUGCCUAGGAACAAGACGUAGGAACAUUACUGUGCCUGGAUGUGUGGAUGGUGUGGGUUUAGUAAAUUAUCGAGCAGCACCUUGAAGUACAGCUACCUUGUUACGACGUCCCCCCCCAGCUAUUUAGUACUAUUUAUCCCUUCCGGAGAAAAUUGGUUAUCUUUAAUCUCCGGCAGUUGACCCCGCUACGAGCUGCAGUCGGGGAGAUUUCUUGUGUCUUACCUGCUAACCGAGGAUGAGCGGAAUCGACAUCGAGUCGAAUGUUGUAUUGUGUGUGUGAAAACGGUGGAAUCACGCCCACCAGUUGCUGUCCCCGACGACGCCGACCCGAUUGAUGAGAUGCGUCUCUCAAACGCAUAACCGGCUCAAUGUUUAAUUCGUAUUGCGUGCCCUGAGUUUGACAGAUGGAGUGGGUCCAAUGAGUCGUUGACCAUUCUAAAUCGUGGAUGAUGUCGAGAUGAUGAGGACAGUAGUGUUUUGAGGACCGGGGUUUGGUGUCGCGGUACCUCGAUUCGCUGUAUGGAAGGCGGGAUUUUGUCGGCGGUACGGCGGUACAUAUGAG